GACGAACGCUGGCGGCGUGCUUAACACAUGCAGGUCGAGCGAGAGAAAUUCCUUCGGGAAGGACUCUAGCGGCGGACGGGUGAGUAACACGUGGGUAACUUGCCUCAUAGAGGGGAAUAGCCUUUCGAAAGGAAGAUUAAUACCGCAUAAGAUUGUAGUAUCGCAUGAUGCAGCAAUUAAAGGAGUAAUCCGCUAUGAGAUGGACCCGCGUCGCAUUAGCUAGUUGGUGAGGUAACGGCUCACCAAGGCGACGAUGCGUAGCCGACCUGAGAGGGUGAUCGGCCACAGUGGGACUGAGACACGGCCCAGACUCCUACGGGAGGCAGCUGUGGGGAAUAUUGCACAAUGGGGGAAACCCUGAUGCAGCAACGCCGCGUGAGUGAUGACGGCCUUCGGGUCGUAAAGCUCUGUCUUCAGGGACGAUAAUGACGGUACCUGAGGAGGAAGCCACGGCUAACUACGUGUCAGCCGCCGCUGUAA
rnacentral:rRNA from 1 species